GAGGAGAGGCGAGCGGAGCGCUGUAAGAAGGUGAUACCCGAGCCUCGACGUGGCAACCUGUAAACAGCAGAGGCGGUGCGGGCGAGCGGCCAAGUUUUUUUCAGAUGCUGCAAGAGGCUCAGAGGGGCGAAGCCGCAUGCUGAUGAGCGGUCCGAGAAGG